AAAUUAUAAGGUCCUAUAUCUCGAUGGAACUAAACUUUUGUAAAAUUAUUUUGAAGUCAAAUAUUUGGUUUAGAAGUUAAUCAUGGAUAUUCUAUGAUCAAUGAUGAUUUUUAAGAGAAUUUUAUGGAAUGAUUUUGAAUGUUUAAAUGAGUUUAAUAUUGAUGAGAAAAUUUUAGAAGAUUGAUUAUGCUCACAAGCUAAUUAAUUUGGACCUUCUGAUUCAGUGA
rnacentral:lncRNA from 1 species